UACAGAGGGCUUGAGCGUUAGGCGGAAUCAUUGGGCUUAAAGCGUGUGUAGGCGGACUUCUAAGUGCGUUGUGAAAUCCCACGGCUCACCCGUGGAACUGCUGGGCAUACUGGGAGUCUUGAGCCACCUAGGGGCGAGCGGAACAAAUGGUGGAGCGGUGAAAUGCGUAGAUAUCAUUUGGAACGCCAACGGAGAAAUCAGCUCGCUGGGGGUGUGCUGACGCUGAGACACGAAAGCCAGGGGAGCGAACGGG
rnacentral:rRNA from 1 species